AUGGAUCCAGCGACCCCCGCAACAUCUUUGUGCAGGGAUCCAGCGAGCACGCCAUGGCGUCCACCACAUGCAAAGGAAGAUGAAGGAGGGCGGCGGAGAAGACACAGGCAUGAAGGUCACAUUGUAGGAGUCAGGCAGGUCGCCGCUUCGGCCUUGGGCAUGUUGUCGACGGUGCUGUGGGAGACCCACAUCGAGAACCUGGAUGGAUUGCUCGCGCUCGAGGCGUUGAACUUCUUUUGCUCGAGCUGGAUGGUUGGGCCGCCGGCGCGGGCAUGGCCAGGGGCAGAACAUGGAGGAGGCAUGGGUGGGGCAGAGCCAGGAGGCCGCGUCCACGGCAAGUCUAGAUGCUCGUUGGGGGAAGCGCCGGAGGAGGAGCAUCGGGGAGGAGUGGUUCAACGGGGGGUGGAGCAGCGCCGGCCCACAGUGGUGCGGCGGCGCGCUGGGAGAAGAGGACGCGAUGCUCCACAGUGGGUCUCAGAUUUUAUAGAUGGACAUACUGAUUCAUGGACUAAAGAAAAAGAGAUGAAACAUUUCCAGCCACCGGACGCUCAGCUGAUACUUAACAUUCCUUUAAGCUCACGGAACAUUGAUGACUGCCCGGCCUGGCACUAUGAGCGGAUCGACAUGUUCACUAUGAGGUUUGAUCAAAGGAUGAUCAUUGAUAUGAAGCGCGGACAUGAGGAUUGGCUAGAAGAGAAACCAUAA
rnacentral:rRNA from 1 species